AUUGAACGCUGGCGGCAGGCUUAACACAUGCAAGUCGAGCGGGGUGAUGGUGCUUGCACUAUCACUUAGCGGCGGACGGGUGAGUAAUGCUUAGGAAUCUGCCUAUUAGUGGGGGACAACAUCUCGAAAGGGAUGCUAAUACCGCAUACGUCCUACGGGAGAAAGCAGGGGAUCACUUGUGACCUUGCGCUAAUAGAUGAGCCUAAGUCGGAUUAGCUAGUUGGUGGGGUAAAGGCCUACCAAGGAGACGAUCUGUAGCGGGUCUGAGAGGAUGAUCCGCCACACUGGGACUGAGACACGGACCAGACUCCUACGGGAGGCAGCAGUGGGGAAUAUUGGACAAUGGGGGGAACCCUGAUCCAGCCAUGCCGCGUGUGUGAAGAAGGCCUUAUGGUUGCAAAGCACUUUAAGCGAGGAGGAGGCUCUUUUGGUUAAUACCCAAGAUGAGUGGACGUUACUCGCAGAAUAAGCACCGGCUAACUACGUGCCAGCAGCCGCCGUAA
rnacentral:rRNA from 1 species